ACAAUGUUGGAGGACAGACAUCAAAACCAGUUAGCCAUUUGGAGACUUAACAACAAACACAUGGAAAAGGUAAUAUGAGGUCGUAUGCACAGGUGGUUGGUAUUGGGGUUUUUCAAAGAAACCAUGGUUAGUAUCUUAGAAGGUUCGGGUGCAUGUCGCUAAUGGAGACAAUAUGACCAAGGUAUUCGAGUUGGCGUUGAGCAAAAAGGAACUUGGAUUAUUUGAGGUAGAAAUUGCC
rnacentral:lncRNA from 1 species